UCGGGAAUUUUGGGCAAUGGGGGAAACCCUGACCCAGCAACGCCGCGUGAAGGAUGAAGUAUUUCGGUAUGUAAACUUCGAAAGAAUAGGAAGAAUAAAUGACGGUACUAUUUAUAAGGUCCGGCUAACUACGUGCCAGCAGCCGCGGUAAUACGUAGGGACCAAGCGUUGUUCGGAUUUACUGGGCGUAAAGGGCGCGUAGGCGGCAUGACAAGUCACUUGUGAAAUCUCUGGGCUUAACCCAGAACGGCCAAGUGAUACUGUCGCGCUAGAGUGCAGAAGGGGCAAUCGGAAUUCUUGGUGUAGCGGUGAAAUGCGUAGAUAUCAGGAGGAACACCUGAGGUGAAGACGGGUUGCUGGGCUGACACUGACGCUGAGGCGCGAAAGCCAGGGGAGCAAACGGGAUUAGAUACCCGCGUAGUCCCUGAGCGGGCUGGCAAGGCGCAU
rnacentral:rRNA from 1 species